rnacentral:rRNA from 1 species
UACAGAGGGUGCGAGCGUUGUCCGGAAUCACUGGGCGUAAAGGGCGCGUAGGCGGCUUGAUAAGGUUGCGGUGAAAGCCCGGGGCUCAACCCCGGGUCGGCCGUGGCAACUGUCGAGCUGGAGCACUGUAGAGGCAGGUGGAAUUCCGGGUGUAGCGGUGGAAUGCGUAGAGAUCGUAAGGAAGACCAGUGGCGAAGGCGAGUUUCUGGACAGUUACUGACGCUGAGGCACGAAGGCCAGGGGAGCAAACGGG